CGGGACACGUGGUAUCCUGUCUGAAUAUGGGGGGACCAUCCUCCAAGGCUAAAUACUCCUGACUGACCGAUAGUGAACCAGUACCGUGAGGGAAAGGCGAAAAGAACCCCGGCGAGGGGAGUGAAAAAGAACCUGAAACCGUGUACGUACAAGCAGUGGGAGCACAGAGCAAUCUGUGUGACUGCGUACCUUUUGUAUAAUGGGUCAGCGACUUAUAUUCUGUAGCAAGGUUAACCGAAUAGGGGAGCCGAAGGGAAACCGAGUCUUAACUGGGCGUUAAGUUGCAGGGUAUAGACCCGAAACCCGGUGAUCUAGCCAUGGGCAGGUUGAAGGUUGGGUAACACUAACUGGAGGACCGAACCGACUAAUGUUGAAAAAUUAGCGGAUGACUUGUGGCUGGGGGUGAAAGGCCAAUCAAACCGGGAGAUAGCUGGUUCUCCCCGAAAGCUAUUUAGGUAGCGCCUCGUGAAUUCAUCUCCGGGGGUAGAGCACUGUUUCGGCAAGGGGGUCAUCCCGACUUACCAACCCGAUGCAAACUGCGAAUACCGGAGAAUGUUAUCACGGGAGACACACGGCGGGUGCUAACGUCCGUCGUGAAGAGGGAAACAACCCAGACCGCCAGCUAAGGUCCCAAAGUCAUGGUUAAGUGGGAAACGAUGUGGGAAGGCCCAGACAGCCAGGAUGUUGGCUUAGAAGCAGCCAUCAUUUAAAGAAAGCGUAAUAGCUCACUGGUCGAGUCGGCCUGCGCGGAAGAUGUAACGGGGCUAAACCAUGCACCGAAGCUGCGGCAGCGACGCUUAUGCGUUGUUGGGUAGGGGAGCGUUCUGUAAGCCUGCGAAGGUGUGCUGUGAGGCAUGCUGGAGGUAUCAGAAGUGCGAAUGCUGACAUAAGUAACGAUAAAGCGGGUGAAAAGCCCGCUCGCCGGAAGACCAAGGGUUCCUGUCCAACGUUAAUCGGGGCAGGGUGAGUCGACCCCUAAGGCGAGGCCGAAAGGCGUAGUCGAUGGGAAACAGGUUAAUAUUCCUGUACUUGGUGUUACUGCGAAGGGGGGACGGAGAAGGCUAUGUUGGCCGGGCGACGGUUGUCCCGGUUUAAGCGUGUAGGCUGGUUUUCCAGGCAAAUCCGGAAAAUCAAGGCUGAGGCGUGAUGACGAGGCACUACGGUGCUGAAGCAACAAAUGCCCUGCUUCCAGGAAAAGCCUCUAAGCAUCAGGUAACAUCAAAUCGUACCCCAAACCGACACAGGUGGUCAGGUAGAGAAUACCAAGGCGCUUGAGAGAACUCGGGUGAAGGAACUAGGCAAAAUGGUGCCGUAACUUCGGGAGAAGGCACGCUGAUAUGUAGGUGAAG
rnacentral:rRNA from 1 species